AAAUUAUCUUUUCAGCCACAACAUUCAAGUGUACAGCAUUCAAAUAAAUUAAUAUCCUUUGAGGCAGAAUAAGAGAAAAUUACAUUUCAAAGCUAUCCAUGCUCCAAUUCAAAAAGAAUACAAAGGAAAAUGAUAAUAGAAAAACAAAAUCAUUGCCAUGGGGGUUGAAUUCUAGAAAGUUCAAGGCCUCAAUCGAGCUUUAUCCGAUCCAUAUCAUUUAUCACCCCUUCAAGCUUGACAAUUUGCCGCAAAAAGUAAUCACCAUACCGCUUCAAUGGUUUUGAUUCGAUUACGUGAAUCAUGUCAUCAUCAAUGUAGAAAUCCACAUCAGCAUUAGAAAUGAUCUUUCCCUCAGAAUCAACAGCAUGAGUCUUGUGUUUAUAUGUCAUCAAGAUAGUCCUUAGAGUGGGUUCAUCCACUUCCAUGUAAUUAGCAAGCUUUGCAAGGGAUAUGGUUGAAUACACCUUCAAAAAGGUCCGAACACCGGAUAACAACUGUUGCUGCUUCACUUCAUAAAGAAAUAGUUUCAACUGCAAUCUGUAUGCAUCCUGGUUGUAAUUUACAAGAGGCUCCUCAAAACUUGGAGCUGAGGGUGUAAUGAACUUAGGGCAUGCAUAUGAGAAGAGUUCAUCGUAUAUAGCAAAUGCUUCAUCAUCAUAUCUUUGCAUUCUAAUCAUCUUUUCACCAUACUUCUCCCGCAAUUGAGAAUUCACAGUUUCCUCAACAAGCUUUACUUGGGGGCAAAGCGAAAGACAAAUUGCCAGCAAGGCAUACAUCUGUUCAUUCUUCUUUAGUAUCUGCUCAUAUUGUGGAGAUUUCUGAUGGUACUGCUUGGUCUUGUAUAUAUACAAUAGAAUUUUAUUGAACUCACGAAUAGCAUCCACAUACCUCCGCAACAUAAGAUUGGCAAAACCAUAAUGAUAUAUCGUAGUUAUGUGGCUGCCAAUAACACUGGUGUAAACACCUUGUUGACUAAUGUCAAUGGGAAGUAAGCACUUCAGGCCAGUAUGAUAGUCACCCAAAAGGCAAUGCACUCGCAGCAAACCAACCAUGCUGAAAUACCCUAGCACCUUCAAGACAUUACUCCCACCAUUAUAAUCAUAACCAUCAGUGUAAGUAAACUGUUCAAGGCCUUCCUUUUCCUGCUCCAAAAUCUGAAUGAUCAUUGACUUCUCCACGAGUGCUUGCAAGAAGUUGAGCACUCCGUAGACAUUCCAAGCCUGAUCAUGUUGUCUCAAAAGCGCAA
rnacentral:misc_RNA from 1 species